CGGAUCCAACAAGAUGGCAAUAGAGAAUACGUUGAACAUUGUCCAUUGUAUAAGAAUGUGCUGGCAGAGCUGUACCAUCCAGAGAAGUUCGAAGUUUGAAGUUUCUUGACUGCGCGGUGUUGCAGUUUCUUUUUAAACGAAGUCAGUUGCAAGCACGAGAUUACGUAUGUAAAAAUGGAAACGUUAUUUGGUAUCAAUCUUAUUGAUCGUAAGUAUAUUAAAAUAAGUAUGUCAUAAAUCCGUAAAAGAUUUGGUCAAUAUUCCAUUAUAUUGCUAAACGCUGCACGAAGGAAUGCACAAAGUAGGAAUAGUAUGCAAAUGUUAUCAAACACAUCAGGUGAAACGAACUAGUAAGCCCUAAUCUGUUAGUUUGGAACUCUACAUUGGAAAUUCUAACAUGAAAUGAUGGGAAACAUUAUCGUUUCUUAUUUCAGGCAUUUAUCAUAAUCACGAGAAUUAAAUUGAUUAAAGAGAGUUUCAACGAGUUUUUUUUUCUGUAGUAUCUACUGAACUUAAGCCUAAAGUGCUCGGAUCGAGUCGAUGCAAAUAACUUCGCUUUGAACAUGAGCACCAUAAAUCUUGGUGUCCCGAAAGUCUAACCCAAAUUUUAGAGUCCUAUCAAUGUUAGUUCGCGCACACCGCAAGAAUCCGACGGACCUCUAGAUAUUCAAGGGUUCCCUUUUUCUUACCAGGCACACGGCGACUUUAGUCUAGACCAAAUGCACUAUUAAUAUCCUAACUUUCUCACUAACUAGCUUGUAGGAGGCGUUGUUCUGACGAGACCUUGCCACCAGGAUUCCAUCAGUGUUAACCCUCUGCACUAAUAACAACGAGCCAGAAUCGUGAUAUAAAUACGUAAUCUAUUAAAGAUGAUUGUUUUCUUCCCAAGUUUUAUGAAGAUUGAUCGAAGUUUGCUGUUAUCCAAGCAAACUUUGCUUGGUUUGGUCUUGUUAGUUUUUUGUUGCAAGAAUAUGGAGUAUUCCAAAUUCCUCUUCCUGGACUCUUCCACAUUGGAAUCUGUUCGUUUUAGAGCAAGAAAUACCUUGAUUCGAAUUUCCAUAUAUUUUAGGUACUAUGUUUUGCUAACCUUAAAUAUACAGUGACAUAAAAAAAGGAAUAAACAGUUAUCAACUUAACGAGGGUGUUUCUCAUAUACUUAUCUGUUUAUGCAAAAGCAAUUGCCACAAGUUCUCUAUUCAGAUAUAUUACGGAUUAACUUACCUACAUUUUGUUCAUGUCCAUUUUAGUGUACUAAAUUUUGUAUAUGAAUAAAUCUAUUAUAAUUGUAA